rnacentral:rRNA from 1 species
AACGAACGCUGGCGGCAGGCCUAACACAUGCAAGUCGAGCGAGAUCUUCGGGUCUAGCGGCGGACGGGUGGGUAACGCGUGGGAAUAUGCCUCUUGGUACGGAAUAGCCUCGGGAAACUGGGAGUAAUACCGUAUGUGCCCUUUGGGGGAAAGAUUUAUCGCCAAGAGAUUAGCCCGCGUUGGAUUAGGUAGUUGGUGGGGUAAUGGCCUACCAAGCCGACGAUCCAUAGCUGGUUUGAGAGGAUGAUCAGCCACACUGGGACUGAGACACGGCCCAGACUCCUACGGGAGGCAGCAGUGGGGAAUCUUAGACAAUGGGGGCAACCCUGAUCUAGCCAUGCCGCGUGAGUGAUGAAGGCCUUAGGGUUGUAAAGCUCUUUCAGCUGGGAAGAUAAUGACGGUACCAGCAGAAGAAGCCCCGGCUAACUCCGUG